rnacentral:rRNA from 1 species
CCAGACUCCUACGGGAGGCAGCAGUGGGGAAUAUUGCACAAUGGGGGAAACCCUGAUGCAGCGACGCCGCGUGGGUGACGAAGUAUUUCGGUAUGUAAAGCCCUAUCAGCAGGGAAGAAGAUGACAGUACCUGACUAAGAAGCCCCGGCUAACUACGUGCCAGCAGCCGCGGUGAUACGUAGGGGGCAAGCGUUAUCCGGAUUUACUGGGUGUAAAGGGAGCGUAGACGGCUGCGCAAGUCAGAAGUGAAAGCCCGGGGCUCAACCGCGGGACUGCUUUUGAAACUGUGUAGCUAGAGUGCAGGAGAGGUAAGUGGAAUUCCUAGUGUAGCGGUGAAAUGCGUAGAUAUUAGGAGGAACACCGGUGGCGAAGGCGGCUUGCUGGACUGUAACUGACGUUGAGGCUCGAAAGCGUGGGGAGCAAACAGGAUUAGAUACCCCAGUA